UUUAGGUGAACUUUAAAAAGCCGCUCCUGUGAUGUCACUGACUUCGCCACGGAGGACACCAGUUUGAACAUUUCUGACCUCUUCUGUGGCUCGUGGCUUCGCAGUUUGCUGCCAGUCAAUAGUUUACAUGCUCUGGAGCAGCUACCAGGCGGCUGCAGACUGCCACCAUUUCUAUGGCUGCCAUUUGGUGCAUAUGUUUAUCCAGGGAUCUUCAGAAAAGAAGAGUGCCAAUGUGAGUUGUUGCCCAACCUGAACUCGUUGAGUCCGUCCACCAUUCGGCUGUAGGCCAAGGCCCUCUGGCUGGCAUCAGCUGACCGCCGACUCAUCUUCAUGGCCUUGAGAGUGACAUAGCACAGACACACACGCUUUGAGAUAUUUGGCACAGAAGCAGACAAACAAAGUUACAGGACAGUUGGAGUAAGGAAUUUGCAGGGUGAGUCGUCCAGACGGUGCCAACAACAGGCACCAGUAAACAGAACCACAGAUAUACAUGGUAUGACCAUUGACCGGUCGAUCUGACAGCAACUCUGCUCAUUACAAAGGGUGCAAAGUCUGCAUUUGGGUUCUAUUAAUAUCCCACUGCUAAACAGGUUCCUUUGACAGGUUUAUCCCCACAAACUUGAGACACAGCUCUUGCCAAGUACAACAUGUAGUUGGUCUGAAAUCGCAGUCACCCACACCCACUCACCUGUUCAAUGGCGCUCUUGAGUUUGUUCAUGUGGCUUUCAAAGAGAGGGAAGUGGGAGAAAAAGAAAUCU